UGGUGUGAAUUACUACGACAUUGAAUGUAACAUAAAAGUUUGUAAAACCUUGUGAAUCUUUGCCGUGUUGUAUUCUACAUUUCUAUUGGUCAGUUGUGAAGCAACGUCAACUAAUUUAGUUUCUGAUUGGUCAAGGGGCGGGAUCACAGCUAUAGUAGGUAGUCCGAAGCAGGUGUGCGAGAGCAGUUCGUUCGUGAGACGGGGCGUUGCCUCGUCGUCUCGCGGCUAAAGGACGGAGGAAAAACUGCUGUAAUCUAAGCUAUUAGCAUGCUAAGCUACGAGCGCGCUAAGCUAGCGCUCAUGGACUUCAGUGCUAACCGCCUGCUAGCAUCUCCGAUGGAGUUCAUCAGCACUGAUGGCGACCGAGAGGAAACCAGAUAGCGCACUGGUUGACCGGGUAAAACUCAGCUGCACCUUGGGCUACAAGGGACGUGAGACUUUCUUCAUCCAUCGGUCAAGGACAGCUUUGUCCGGAAAAAAAGGCCUGGUGGAGCUCUCGCCCCGUCCCCUCCACUGUGACCCAGGAGGCCGUGUCCUUCCCUUCCUCCGUAGCGUCGUGUCAGUGCUAAACCUCUCAGGAACAUCCAGAGAACAUCACAGGUUUGAGCAGCAGCAGCGAGAACAAGCAGCACUACAAAAACACACACACACACACACACACACUAAGACGCAAAACAGGACGUUGCAACACAUGAAGAGCAUUUUGAGAAACACUGCUGAAGACUCGAAAAAAUUAACAAUAGAAAAAGAACAAUAG
rnacentral:lncRNA from 1 species